CUGCCAUAUCACGUUGUAACACCGGUUCCCGUAAGAUCACUGCAUUUAAGUAACGUCGAACCUGAUCAGUACCUGAAUGGGUGAACGUUUGGGAGUACCAGAUUCUGU